CGAGUAGUAAGUUAAGAUUUAAAACUGUGUGAUUCAUGUUCACACAUUGACUAGAAGUUCUUACUCGU
rnacentral:tRNA from 1 species